rnacentral:rRNA from 1 species
AUAUUACUAGGCGGAGGAAAAGAAACUAACAAGGAUUCCCUCAGUAACGGCGAGUGAAGCGGGAAGAGCUCAGACUGAAAAUCUUCGGAGUUGUAGUCUGGAGAAGUGAGAUUAGGACUGUCUGUGGAGAAAGUCCUCUGGAACGAGGCGCCUAGGAGGGUGAUAGUCCCGUCCCUCUGCGUGAUAGUCCGUCCGAUCCACUUUCAAAGAGUCGAGUUGUUUGGGAUUGCAGCUCUAAGCGGGUGGUAAAUUCCAUCUAAAGCUAAAUAUUGGCCAGAGACCGAUAGCGCACAAGUA